rnacentral:lncRNA from 1 species
UAAAAUACUACAAAAUAAAUUAAUUGCAUGUCGCAAUAUAUGUAGUCUGAUUGCUUCAAAUUCAACGGUCCACACUACUAUUGAAAUGUUGAAGCCAAUUGGAAACAGCCCAAUAGGUGCAGUUUGGAAGCAUGCAAUUAUUAACAAGUGACUUUUUUUUAUUAUUAUUGUUUUGUUUUGUUUUGUUUUUUUAAUGACAAGUGACUUUUUUUUAUUUAGUGUACGUGAAUUUUUUUUAUACGAAUAGAAAUCUGCAUUUUUUCUACUUAAUAGUUUAUAAUAAUUCUUUUUUUCAAUAAAUGGUAGCAAGGAAUAAUUAAUAAUAAACCUUUUCUUUAGGGGUUGGUCUAGCUAGAAGAAAUUCAUCCUGUCAAAUGAUUUUACUCCUAUUUUUUGAAGAAAUACUUAAACCGACGCCGAGCUAUAAAUGUG